AUGGCGGCCAUCAAGCCGCCGCCGCCUGACCGGCCGCCGCAGGCCGCGCGGCUGCCGUCCCCUUCCUCCUCCUCCUCGGCGGCCGAGCCGUUCCAGCCAGAGGGUCUCCUCCACACCUUCUGCGGCACGCCGGCCUACGUCGCGCCCGAAGUCCUCGCCCGCCGUGGAUACGAAGGCGCCAAGGCCGACAUAUGGUCCUGCGGUGUCAUCCUCUUUGUUCUCAUGGCCGGAUACCUCCCUUUCCAUGACCAGAACCUCAUGGCCAUGUACCGUAAGGUUUACAAGGGAGAGUUCCGAUGUCCAAGGUGGUUCUCCAAGGACCUUACUAGCUUGAUCAUGCGUUUUCUUGACACAAACCCAAGCACCAGGAUCACCUUGCCGGAGGUCAUGGAGAGCCGGUGGUUCAAGAAAGGUUUCCGGCCAGUCAAGUUCUAUAUUGAAGAUGACCAGCUGUACAACGUCAUUGAUGCCGAGAAUGAUAUGCUCGACUUGGGUCUCCCUGACCCUCUUCCUCAACCAUUGCUUCCUCCACCUUCAUCUCCAUCUCCGCAAGAAGUUGAUGGAGAUGACUCAGGGUCAGAAUCCGACGCAUCAGUCGUGUCCUGCCCUGCCACAUCGUCAUUUGAAGAGCGCCACAGGCUCCGCGGGCCACUCCCACGCCCCGCAAGCCUUAACGCGUUUGAUAUCAUAUCAUUCUCAAGGGGAUUCAACUUGUCGGGGCUGUUUGAGGAAAAAGGGGACGAGGUGAGAUUCAUCUCGAGUGAACCUAUGUCGGGCAUUAUAACGAAAUUAGAGGAGAUCGCAAAUGUGAAGAGCUUCGCGGUGCGGAAGAAGGAUUGGCGGGUGAGCCUAGAGGGCACAAGGGAAGGGGUUAAGGGGCCACUAACAAUCUGCGCGGAGAUAUUUGAACUCACACCCUCCCUUGUAGUAGUGGAGGUAAAAAAGAAGGCGGGGGAUAAGGAAGAGUAUGAUGAUUUCUGCAACAAGGAAUUGAAGCCAGGAAUGCAGCAUCUUGUGCACCAGAUGGCCCCAGUUCCAAUUACACCUACCAUUUCUGAGUAG
rnacentral:rRNA from 1 species